UGGAUGCCUGCACGCGAAUGCAA
rnacentral:misc_RNA from 1 species